UACGGGGGGGGCAAGCGUUGUUCGGAAUUACUGGGCGUAAAGGGCUCGUAGGUGGCCAACUAAGUCAGACGUGAAAUCCCUCGGCUUAACCGGGGAACUGCAUCUGAUACUGGAUGGCUUGAGUUUGGGAGAGGGAUGCGGAAUUCCAGGUGUAGCGGUGAAAUGCGUAGAUAUCUGGAGGAACACCGGUGGCGAAGGCGGCA
rnacentral:rRNA from 1 species